rnacentral:rRNA from 1 species
UACGUAGGGUGCGAGCGUUAAUCGGAAUUACUGGGCGUAAAGCGUGCGUAGGCGGUUCGCUGUGUCCGAUGUGAAAGCCCCGGGCUUAACCUGGGAAUGGCAUUGGAAACUGGCGGGCUUGAGUGCGGCAGAGGGGGAUGGAAUUCCGCGUGUAGCAGUGAGAUGCGUAGAUAUGCGGAGGAACACCGAUGGCGAAGGCAAUCCCCUGGACCUGUACUGACGCUCAUGCACGAAAGCGUGGGGAGCAAACAGG